rnacentral:lncRNA from 1 species
CUUUGAUUGCAUACUGGCAUGUAUAAAGAACGGUGGUGCCAGCAAGAGUAGGGAGUUGAUCAUCCACCUGUACUCAGCUCUGGUGAGGCCACACCUUCAGUACUGUGUUCAGUUUUGGGCCCUUCACUACAAGAAAGACAUUGAGGCCCUGGAGUGUAUCCAGAGAAGAGAAACUGAAGAUAACAACAUGCAUAAUGUGUUGUCUUUCAAACAAGGCAGAUGAGGAAUUUGGCUUGUGGCUGCUGACAUUCCAUCUGAGCUAGGAUGUAUGUUCUUGUCUUUCUGGUGACAUGUGGGAAAUGUAUAAAAGGAAAGCCUGUCUUGGGUGUGCCCCUCUUUCACUGAUGGAUUCCCAGAGGCAGUAAGUCUCUGAGCCACUUCCUUUUAAGCCAAGUAUCUCAUUUGCUCUGCAUGCCAAGGUUAAGUUCUUGAAGAAGAUUCAUCCAAACAGGUCUCCUGGAU